CAGCAGCCACGGGAAUACGAAGGGUGCAAGCGUUACUCGGAAUUACUGGGCGUAAAGCGUGCGUAGGUGGUGGUUUAAGUCCGUUGUGAAAGCCCUGGGCUCAACCUGGGAAUUGCAGUGGAUACUGGGUCACUAGAGUGUGGUAGAGGAUAGUGGAAUUUCCGGUGUAGCAGUGAAAUGCGUAGAGAUCGGAAGGAACAUCUGUGGCGAAGGCGACUAUCUGGGCCAACACUGACACUGAGGCACGAAAGCGUGGGGAGCAAACAGGAUUAGAUACCCCAGUAGUCCCUGUCUCUUAUCC
rnacentral:rRNA from 1 species